rnacentral:rRNA from 1 species
GAUUAUGGCUCAGGAUGAACGCUGGCGGCGUGCUUAACACAUGCAAGUCGAACGAAGCACUGAAGAAUGGAGAUUCGUCAAAGUUCUCUUGACUGAGUGGCGAACGGGUGAGUAAUGCGUGAGCAACCUGCCCUUCAGAGGGGGACAACAGUUGGAAACGACUGCUAAUACCGCAUGAUGUGUUUGGAUGGCAUCAUCUGAAUACCAAAGGAGAAAUCCGCUGAGGGAUGGGCUCACGUCUGAUUAGCUAGAUGGCAGGGUAACGGCCUACCAUGGCGACGAUCAGUAGCCGGACUGAGAGGUUGAACGGCCACAUUGGGACUGAGAUACGGCCCAGACUCCUACGGGAGGCAGCAGUGGGGAAUAUUGGGCAAUGGGCCGAAAGCCUGACCCAGCAACGCCGCGUGAAGGAAGAAGGCCUUCGGGUUGUAAACUUCUUUUAACAGGGACGAAGAAGUGACGGUACCUGUUGAAUAAGCCACGGCUAACUACGUGCCAGCCGCGGC